rnacentral:rRNA from 1 species
GGAGGAUGCAAGCGUUAUCCGGAUUUAUGGGGUUUAAAGGGUACGUAGGCGGAAAAUUAAGUCAGUAGUGAAAUCCUGCAGCUUAACUGUAGAACUGUUAUUGAUACUGGUUUUCUUGAAUAUAGUUGAGGUAGGCGGAAUGUGUAAUGUAGCGGUGAAAUGCUUAGAUAUUACACAGAACACCGAUUGCGAAGGCAGCUUACUAAGCUAUGAUUGACGCUGAGGUACGAAAGCGUGGGGAGCGAACAGGAUUAGAUACCCUGGUAGUCCACGCCGUAAACGAUGAUCACUCGUUGUUGGCAAUACAUCGUCAGCGACUGAGCGAAAGCAUUAAGUGAUCCACCUGGGGAGUACGCUCGCAAAGAGUG